AUGUGAUCUUGCACCGUUAGGUUUGCAUGUCCCUAUGGACGUGCAAGAGAAGAUUUGGAGAGGUGAGUAUGUGGAUCUGCUGUCUUUGGUCUCUCCUGACAAGGAUUCAGUGGACAGACCACGCCGUGGGGAGGUACCAGAGGCGGAAAAAGGUAAGCAGAUACCCAGAACCUUUGGUAAUUGGUUGCAGGGGUUUAACAUAUUUGCC